CCUAUCUCCAGCCAGGGAUCACAAUACCACAUUCCAGACAGAUGGCUUCCUUGUGGUUCUACCUCAGGACUUUUCCCUCUGCCUGGAAUCCACCCCUAUGAAUUGUCAGCUCCAUUUAAGGAAAGAACCGUGGUUUUGUUGACCACUACGUCUCCAGUUCCUAGGACGGUGACUGGCACACGAUUAUUUCCCUUCUCUGAGGAGGACAUAUGAUGCCCUUGUCCCUCACUGCCCCCUUCAUGAAAAGGCUUUCCCCCAAGGCUCUGCCUGCCUGACAUGCACCCGUUCAUUAAAAACGAGUGACGUCCUCUUUCAGUCGGCCUCAUCAUGUUCUUCCUGGUUUCGCCCAGAGCUGCUGCCAAGACU